CCUACGGGUGGCAGCAGUGAGGAAUAUUGGUCAAUGGGCGGAAGCCUGAACCAGCCAAGUCGCGUGAGGGAAUAAGGCCCUACGGGUCGUAAACCUCUUUUGCCGGGGAGCAAGGGCGGGGACGUGUCCCGGCCCGGAGAGUACCCGGAGAAAAAGCAUCGGCUAACUCCGUGCCAGCAGCCGCGGUAAUACGGAGGAUGCGAGCGUUAUCCGGAUUUAUUGGGUUUAAAGGGUGCGUAGGCGGGCUUUUAAGUCAGCGGUAAAAAUUCGGGGCUCAACCCCGUCCGGCCGUUGAAACUGCCUUGCUGGAAUGCGGAUGCCGUGGGAGGAAUGUGUGGUGUAGCGGUGAAAUGCAUAGAUAUCACACAGAACACCGAUUGCGAAGGCAUCUCACGAAUCCGCGAUUGACGCUGAUGCACGAAAGCGUGGGUAUCAAACAGGAUUAGAUACCCCGGUAGUC
rnacentral:rRNA from 1 species